AGGAGGAAGAUGGGGGGGGCUCUGCCCCCCAGCCCAUUACUGCUCCCCUGGCAGUGCCAUCCCAGUGCCCUGCCCAGCUGGCACGUAUGCCAGCCUGACAGGCCAGACACAGUGCCCCCGCUGCCACGCUGGUUACUACUGCCCUGAGAGGACCAGUAACUACACCCAGUUUCCCUGCCCACCUGGCUUCUACUGUCCUGAUGGCACGCGGCAUGCCACCCAGUUCCCCUGUCCCCGUGGCUACUACAACCCUGAGCCCAUGACCCAGAGCCUGGACAGCUGUCUGCCCUGUCCCCCUGGACACUACUGUGAGAAGGAGAGACUGACCGCUGUCUCAGGGAAAUGCAAAGCCGGUUGGUUCUGUGUGUCUGCUGCCUGGAACUCCCAGCCUUUUGACCUGGACAACUACACUAACGCCAACUGUCUGUGUCCUGCCACCUCCACCGGGGGCCGCUGUCAAGAGGGCUUCUACUGCCCCCAAGGAAGCUCUGAGCCUCUGCCCUGCCCUCCCGGGGCCUUCUGCAACAUAUCUGGUCUGGCCCUGCCCAUGGGACCCUGCUCCCCUGGCUUCUACUGCACAGAGGGAGCCACUCUGGCCAAACCCACUGACGGAGAGACUGGCAACAUCUGCCCUCCUGGAACCUACUGUGGUGAAGGCUCUGGGGAGCCAGAGCUGUGUCCCGUUGGUACUUUCUCCCCAGCCUCAGGCCUCUCCAAUGUGUCUCAGUGUCAGGCUUGCACUGCAGGGUUUUACUGCGCUGCUGCAGGCCUGAGGGAAGCUACUGGGCUAUGUAGCGAGGGUUACUGGUGCCCUCCAGGUCAGAGGGUGGCCACAGCCCUGGCUUGCCCAGCAGCCCACUACUGUCCCCAGGGAAGUGCAGUUCCUGAGCCCUGCCCCUCUGGAACCUUACAGGACAGAGAGAAACAGGCCACCUGCCAUAUCUGUGAAGCGGGUUAUUACUGUGACCUGAGGUUGGGCCUGGCGAAUGCCUCGGUGCUUCGGCCCUGCCCUAAAGGACAUUACUGCCCCCCAGGCACCGUCUUGGCCACCCAGAACCCCUGCCCCCCAGGCUCAUUCAACCCCAGAGAGCGAAUAGACCGCUUGACAGGCUGCAUGCUCUGUCCUCCAGGACAGUUCUGUCCUACCAUGGGACUCGCUGAACCUGCAGGUUACUGCAACGCUGGCUUCUGGUGCAGGGAGGGGGCGUACUCCCCCAGUCCUGUGGAUGGCCUCUCAGGCUUUCUGUGUCCUGCUGGGCAAUACUGCCCCUCAGGUACCCCUGCCCCUGUGCCCUGUCCUUUGGGUACCUGGUCUAACAGUACUGGCCUGGCGAACCAGGAAGAGUGCCGACCCUGCCCUGGAGGACUCUACUGUGACUCUAUCAGCCUCACCGCUCCCACUGGGUCUUGCACUGGAGGAUAUUAUUGUCUUGAGAGAGCAGUGACACCCACUCCCACUGAUGGCCCUACAGGCGGACCCUGUCUAGAGGGUCACUAUUGUCCCGUAGGAACCACUCAGCCGUUGUCCUGUGAUCCAGGGACGUAUAUGAUUGUAACACAUGCAACUCAAUGUGAGCCCUGUACCCCUGGCUGGUAUUGUGUGUCAGGCACCCUACAACUGUGUCCUGCAGGUUUUUACUGUCCCGAGGGAACAGGAUAUGACUUGAGAGCUUGUCCAGAGGGCACAUACAGCCCUGAGCUGGGCUUGACAUCCAUCAGCCAGUGCAGGCAGUGUGACGGUGGCCAUUACUGUCCACUUAGGAAUGGCACCUCAGUCACAGGACAGUGCCUGGAGGGGUAUUACUGCUCCAACGGAAACACCUCUCCACAGCCUUCCUUUCACU
rnacentral:lncRNA from 1 species